rnacentral:tRNA from 1 species
UGCCUGAUUGUGUAAGGGUAGCACAAGUGACUCUGACUCACUUUGUCUGGGUUCGAAUCCUAGUCAGGCAGCCA